AGUCGAGGGGUAUUUAUCUUCGGAUAGAGAGACCGGCGCACGGGUGCGUAACGCGUAUGCAAUCUACCUUUUACAGAGGGAUAGCCCAGAGAAAUUUGGAUUAAUACCUCAUAGUAUAUAGACUCGGCAUCGAGAUUAUAUUAAAGUCACAACGGUAAAAGAUGAGCAUGCGUCCCAUUAGCUAGUUGGUAAGGUAACGGCUUACCAAGGCUACGAUGGGUAGGGGUCCUGAGAGGGAGAUCCCCCACACUGGUACUGAGACACGGACCAGACUCCUACGGGAGGCAGCAGUGAGGAAUAUUGGACAAUGGGCGCAAGCCUGAUCCAGCCAUGCCGCGUGCAGGAUGACGGUCCUAUGGAUUGUAAACUGCUUUUAUACGAGAAGAAACACUACUUCGUGAAGUAGCUUGACGGUAUCGUAAGAAUAAGGAUCGGCUAACUCCGUGCCAGCAGCCGCGGUAAUACGGAGGAUCCAAGCGUUAUCCGGAAUCAUUGGGUUUAAAGGGUCCGUAGGCGGUUUAAUAAGUCAGUGGUGAAAGCCCAUCGCUCAACGGUGGAACGGCCAUUGAUACUGUUAGACUUGAAUUAUUAGGAAGUAACUAGAAUAUGUAGUGUAGCGGUGAAAUGCUUAGAGAUUACAUGGAAUACCAAUUGCGA
rnacentral:rRNA from 1 species